AAGUGUGCAGUGAUGAGGCUUUUUUGUGGACUAGAGUUUAUGAUCUGGGUUCUUCACCCAGAAGUUGAUUACAAACCCUUGGCUGUCUGAGCACCCAA